AGUGGAAUUCCUGGGUCAUAUGGUAACUCUUUUUAACUUUGUGAAGAAUUACCAAAUUGUUUUCCAAAGUGACUGUACCAUUUUACAUUCCCACCAGCAAU
rnacentral:pre_miRNA from 1 species